rnacentral:lncRNA from 1 species
AACCUUCCAAAACAUUCCUCCUCCCACCACCCAACUCCAACAAACCACAGUGAGACAUAUUUGGACCCUUCAUCACUAUUCAAUAUAAUCAAUACUGAGUCCAUCAGGGGAGAGAGGAGUCUCCCUUGCACCAUAGACCCCCCGGAAACACAGCUGCCACUCUCUGUGUUUCCAUGUCACACAUGGCACCGCCCGGAGAAAAAGGUUUGCCAGUGUGACCCUCUCUCUUCCAUGCACAGUGCUCUCACCACCGAUGCAUGGAUGGACAGACUGCUUUUAGGAUUUUUCCUUUCAAGGAUACUCUGCCAUGAGGGAAAAAACAACAGUUCAGUUUUUCAUUUUUUUGGGACCACAGUCCCCCCCCCAUUUUCUUCCUCCCCUGGGGCCGAGGGUCUCAGGAACAGAGAUCUUCUCUUCUUCUCUGAAGACGGGGGGCAUCACCACAAACCUCCCCAACUUUUCUCUGUUCGCUCCACUCCUGUGUUUUCUUCAGCUGCUGAAGCAGGUCUCUUGGCUCACCAGCAUCCUCCUAAAAUACAGUCUCUCUCUUGGAGGAGAAAAUCAGUUCAGUCUAUGGCUAACAAGAAAAAGUCCAGCCAGAAGCCACUCCAUCAUCUCCUUCCACCCAGAAUUUCUCCUUCUAACAUCUCGGGUCCCAGGCUGUCUCUCUUCUCUUUCAAGCCGAGGAGGAGUAAAAUUUCACAAAGCUUUCAUUUCUCAAGGAAGGGUUAAAAGUCCCGACUCCCUGGCUGGCUCUCUGCCCGGAUCUCCGGCUCCCACCUGGGAGCUGGGCACCUUGCGGCCCCCCCCCCGCUCUCCUCCUUCCCGCGGUACUGCUGGCAAAUCAUUGCUGUCUCUUUCAAGAGAGAGAGACUCUGGGGGGGGGGGACGGAGACAUCCCAGAUGUUUUCCACCCUUCCAUCUGCAGGGGCCAGCCCGGUUCCAGUCCCUCCACCCUUCGGCUUUACCUCAGCCGGGCCUUGGGCCUUCCCCUCCCCUGCCCAGCGAAGAGCCAGGCAGGGGAGAGUCCCG